GCACAACAAGACUAAUUUUGUCUGUCUAUAAAAUGUUUUCAUGGUAUACAAUUUCCUUGAUAUUUUGACAGACCAGACUUAUGUAUAUAUAAAUAUUUGUGGUUGCUAAGCUACCAAAUAUAUUUAUUUUAGACCUUGUAUAAUGUUAUUUUGAGGCAGAAUAUAUUGCUUUUUUAGACCUCAUAGUGAGAGAGGUUUACAGAUUAAUGUAUGCUUUUCUGUUGUUUCCAGUGCAAGUCUUUCUUGAAGUGCACAGAGUAUCUGCAGCUGCUCUUUUAUUGAAAGUUCUGACAAGAAGAGAUUCCACUCACUGAGAUUUCCAAGAUUUCCACUGCAAGGAUUUCAUCACUUAAACAAGGUUUUCCUCUGGGAUUAGAACACUCUUCACAUUCUUUUUCUGAUGCCUUGUAAUCUCAGAGAUCUUCCCAUUUUGUAUUUUCAUCUGAGUAUCUGGUUCCACUCUUCAGUUAGCAAAGGCCAGUCGAACAGAGUGCAGAUGGGCAGCAGUCAUGAAUCAUAGGAGCCCUGUAGUUUCUAUGAACUCAGAUGUUUUCAGGAUAUCAGCUGUGAAAAUCAUGCAUUCACAAGAAUUGAAGCUGUCUGGCAAUCCCUGGAGGUAAGCAAGGCUACAUUUUCAAGCAUGAGUAUGAACAGUGAUGAAAAAUGUGGGCAUUUGUGUACCAAGCAAAUGCAACUGCUGAAAAAUUUAUCCCAUCUCCAGGUUGGCUCUCAUAACAAUGUAGUAUGAAAAUAUCACUGGAAGUAUUCAUAAUGAAUAUUAAUAAAAAAAUAAAUCAAACUCCUGAAGAUUUAGAA
rnacentral:lncRNA from 1 species